rnacentral:lncRNA from 1 species
CACAAAAAAUCCAAAUUUUAUAUUAGAGUUAUUUUUACAACAGCAACAACAACAACCCAAUAUAAUCCCACUUAGUGGGGUCUGGGGAGGAUAGUAUAUACGCAGACCUUACCCCUACCCUAGGGUAGAGAGAUUAGAGUUAUUUUUCUAAUCUCGAUAAUACUGAUAACAAAGUAUAAAAAAAGAUACAAAUAUCCCAAAUAUAUUAACAUUAGUGCUAGGAAUCUAUCCAUAUCAUCUACUAGAACCUACUGGCUACGGUCUAUGCAAUUGCAACCUAUCACGUGCUGAUCUCUCUCUCUCCGUCGAAAUUCCGUCCAAAAACUGUACUCACUUAUUACUACCGAUAUCUACUAGUGAGGGUACGCCGGGCUAUGCCCGGGCCCAACGACUAUUUAGAGCUAUAUAGGUACUUAAAUCUAUGCUGGGGCAUAAAAAAACAUGUUAUGGAAUAUGUUUUUGUAUACUUGAAGGUUUUGUUAGGAUGCUUUAUAAAGCAAAGUACUACAGGCUAAAGGGAGAUUGUAUUUAACAGUUAUAACUACAUACAAAAAUGUGAUUUUAACAGUAUUUAGCAACAUGCUCAUUGUCUUCACCUAUCCAUCCAGCACUCUUUUUUCCUUCUUGAAUUUCUCCUCCAACUUCAUGAGCAUACGCUUCUUGCAGUGCACCAAAAAUGAUUUCUCUGCAGAAGGAGAAAGAGAGAAAAAGCAUGGUUAGGAGAUCGAGCAUAUUGCUACCCCCUGAUGAGAUUACCAUAACCCACUUAAAAUACUUAAAUUUUAAUUUACUUUUGUUUCGUAUUAUCCAACUGUUGCAGGCACUGAAGUGGCCUCUAGUAGUUUGUCAGUCAGCUGAGCGUCUUCUACUCUGCUAUGAAGAUGAAUUAAGCGUGUUAAUGAUUCACAUAAGAGUGUAUAAUCUGCUCAAAUAAACUCAAUGAUAUCCAACACCCACAAAAACUACAUGCAACUUAGAGAGCCGUGGAUAAACUUGUGAGAUGUAUCUGUAAGAUUAUCUUAGAAACACAAAAAUAAUAUAUUAAUGCUCUUUUGAACUCACAUCCUCAUUUAUAUAUACGACUACCAUAUGGUAGACUAUGACUGCAUUAAUAGCAGGAAAUAUAAGUCAUUUUUCGAGGCCAAUAAACCAAAAGAGGGAGUUAGCCAUAUAUAAUAUAGACCAUCCAUUUCUUGUCUUUGAACUCUGCGUAAGAGCUCCACUUGUAGGAUUCCACCAAUGGAAAGAACAGGUUUUGCCAGCCUAAACUUCUGCAAGCUGUUCUCCUGUACCCAUGAGAAGCUAGCUUAGCUGUUCCAAAGUCUGAGACACAUAAAAGAAGAAAUCUUAACUAAAACUGAGCUACAGUUUGAAGUAGAUUUUAAAUUGCUUGCUUUUGUCAACAAAAGAGAAGAUUAGUUCAUGAAUGAGCACCUAACAGCUGUGUUAAAAUGAGUGAUAUACUUCCACCAAGUACAUGUUCUGACAUAAGUAAGACCAAGAAUAGGCUUAGUUAGUGGAAACCAUUAUUAUUACUUGGGAAGUAGACGUUGUUACUUAUUAUCCAAGAAAAGAUGUCAGUGUAAAGUAUCCAUUUGAUUGCUUCACGGAUGAGAACUAUCCAGAACAAAAGAAACUGAAAUAUUGUUUGGAUAGCAAGAUGUAACAACCAAUUAAUGUGUAGUAGGUACAUAGAAGAAGAAAAAAACUGAUGAGACAAUCUCAAGAACAAAAAAGUAACGCUUAAAUACACAAAAAGAACAUAGACUUAAAGGAUAGAAAUACAAAAGAGAGCAAACUGAUUUAAUAUACAACUCUCUUUGUUAAUUCAUUAGUCUACAAGCAUAUUCUGAGAACAAAGAGGAUAACAAGACAAAUAACGAAUAUAAUUGAGAGGAGAAACAAAGUCAAGUGAAAAGUAAAAGCAAAGCAGCAGAAACCAAUUAAUUCUUAAGUUUACUUGUUCAUUUUCAUAUGAUUUUAUCAAUGCGGUUUGACUUAAGAUACUAACAAUAUUUGUAAUUGAAAGUAUGUACUAAUAUUUAGGGGAAAAGAAAGUUGAGAAGUAGAUACGAUGUUCUGUAUGAACAUAAAGGGGUCGCAGUUCACUACAUCGACCACUUCAGACCAUCCAUAUACCGGCUUCUUGUUUACUCUUUUCCUUCAUUCUCACAAUUAUAGUAACAAAGGUCUCAACAGGUGCAUUGCACUUUUGCUCCGUUUUCCUUUAUUGUGUUUCCUUUAUUGUAUACUUUUAAAUUGUCACAACUAUAACAUCAUGUCUUCUGAAAUUCCUUUCUUUAAAUUUUUUUCAGGAACAAGUUGAAGAAAAAAUAAGAAGAUUCAAGAGAGGGCAAAACUUUGGAUGAUUUAAGGAAAGUGAGACUUAUCAAGGAUUUGUACCAAUUAAACUUGUGGGCAAACUUGAAGAAGCAAAACAAAUUACAGAGAGAUGAAAAUAGAAUGCCAUCAAAAUUACCCAAAAUCAAAAUUACCAGAUUAUUCUUCACCCAAGCGAACCAAGAAAUUAAAUCUGAAGACAGUAAUAAAAAUCAAGUAGUAAAUUUGAUUCAUUGUAAAAUUUUGCCCUUAUUCUCGAGGAAAUACACAGAAGUUGAAGUGAAGGAAAAGAAAAUCCAGCAAAACAUAACUAACCUGAUAAAAGUUUCAGAGCCGCAAGAGGAAAGACCAGAAGAGACAAAGAUAACUUGAAGAGGAACUGAGAAAGGUAUGAAAAUCCGAAGAAACAGCAGUAUGAACCGAAAUCGAAGGUAACACGUGUGUAGAAAGCUAAAAUAUUUGAAAUUCCCAAACUACCCCUACGACCCCAAGCUCCUCUCGCUAGCUGUUUCUAUAAUAGUACUAGUGAGGGUAUGCCCGGGCUAUGCCCGGGCCGAACGACUAUUUAGUAUUUUUGUUAAUAAAGCUAUAUAGGUACUUAAAUCUAUCAUGGACCAUCGAAAAGAAACAUGUUAUGGAAAAGGUUUUUGUAUACCUAAAGGUUUUGUAAGUACUAUAGGCUAAAGAGAGAUUGUAUUUAACUGUCAUAACUACAUACAUAAAUGUGAUUCUAACAGUAUUUAGCAACAUGCGCACUGUCUUCACCUAUCCAUCCAGCUUUUCAUGUUGGUACUGUUGCACGCACUAAAAUGGCCUCUAGUAAUUUGUCAGUCAGCUGAGCGUCUUCUACUCUGCUAUGAAGAUGAAUUAAGCGUGUUAAUGAUUCACAUAAGAGUGUACAAUCUGCUCAAAUAAACUCAGGGAUAUCUAACACCCACAAAAACUAUGUGCAAUAAUUAUUAACAAUUAAGAGAGCUGUGAAUAAACUUGUGAGAUGCAUUCAUCUGUAAGAUUAUCUUAGAAACAAAAAAAUCAUAUAUUAAUGCCCUUUUGAACUCACAUCCUCAUUUAUAUAUACGACUACCAUAUGGUAGAUUAUGACUGCAAUAAUAGCAGGAAAUAGAAGUCAUUUUUUGAGGCCAAUAAACCAAAAAAAGGGAGUUAAUCAUAUAUAAUAUAGACCAUCCAUUUCCACUUCGAAUAGGUUUUGACAGCCUAAACUUCUACAAGCUGUUCUCCUAGACAUAAAGCUUNNNNNNNNNNNNNNNNNNNNNNNNNNNNNNNNNNNNNNNNNNNNNNNNNNNNNNNNNNNNNNNNNNNNNNNNNNNNNNNNNNNNNNNNNNNNNNNNNNNNNNNNNNNNNNNNNNNNNNNNNNNNNNNNNNNNNNNNNNNNNNNNNNNNNNNNNNNNNNNNNNNNNNNNNNNNNNNNNNNNNNNNNNNNNNNNNNNNNNNNNNNNNNNNNNNNNNNNNNNNNNNNNNNNNNNNNNNNNNNNNNNNNNNNNNNNNNNNNNNNNNNNNNNNNNNNNNNNNNNNNNNNNNNNNNNNNNNNNNNNNNNNNNNNNNNNNNNNNNNNNNNNNNNNNNNNNNNNNNNNNNNNNNNNNNNNNNNNNNNNNNNNNNNNNNNNNNNNNNNNNNNNNNNNNNNNNNNNNNNNNNNNNNNNNNNNNNNNNNNNNNNNNNNNNNNNNNNNNNNNNNNNNNNNNNNNNNNNNNNNNNNNNNNNNNNNNNNNNNNNNNNNNNNNNNNNNNNNNNNNNNNNNNNNNNNNNNNNNNNNNNNNNNNNNNNNNNNNNNNNNNNNNNNNNAGGAACCCCUCUUCAAUAUUUCAUGUGUGCAAAAAGUUUGUCAAAUAGUUUUGGGAAGAUAAACUUGUGAUAGACUUGACCUGUUCGCAAAGGAAAAAGAUAUACUUAUUAGGCCUAUAUGGUAAUAACUUAAAACAAAAUAGAUCUCUGAGUAGUAAAGAUGGAAUCACUUGGCCGGAUUAAAUAAACAAAUUUUGAAUAAUGACAUUUCAAGUACGUUAUCAUGCAUGUAUUUAGCACAUAAUGGAAUUAGAUGACAGUUACUUGUAUUCAAUUGUGGACCUUGUAAUGAAACAACUAUAUUUUAGUGUUGGAUUCUAUCAGAGAUGGAGGCAUAUCCUUUACACAUCAGUAGAAGAAAAAGCUAGUGAAAUAAAGUAAAUAAAAAGUGUAAGCAUAUGUGCCAAUUUUCAAUGAGCAUAUCACAUUGUAAAUCUCUCUAGAUAGCGGAAAAACACUUACCUUGUCUUUGCUCUGAUCGUUUCUUGUCAGGCUGUGUCUUCUUGAAGAGUUAUUUGUUUUCUCUUGGUUUCUUCUCGAGCUGUAUCAUUUCUUAUUCUCCUUUCUUGGUUUGAAAUCUGUGUUCGUGAUCCCUUCGUACAACUGUUAUGUCAUCACUAAGUGUUUCUACACUACAGUAAUAAUAUUGGAGUCAGAAGUAUAUUUGUCAGUAGUAUAUUCUCAGUUAAAUUAAACUGUAAGAACAUUUAGUGGUGAUUAAACUUCGAAACCUGGGUACUCCAAACAUCUAUAGAGUGAACAAGAAACAUUAAAAGAAAUUUUUUGCAAUAUUUCAUUAUAAAAGAGCCAUCAACUUACUUAUUCCCUUAAUGAUCAUAUUAAUAAUACAACUUUAUUUGCUCAUCUACAUAAAAAUGAUUAAUUUAACAAAAAAAUAUUAUUUUUGGGGUUAAAUUUUUUUUUAAAGAUGAAUAUACUACUUAUUUUCCUUUGUAAAAUAGUAAAUGUAGUACUCUAUAGGGAGAAUAAUAUAUAUAAAUCUAUUUUUUACUAUAUCAUUAAUGUUACCUUGUUUGUUCGGGUGUUUUUGUUUUAUCAAAUACCUACCAUAUUCAUGUCUGUAUUCCCUCAUCUAAUAUGCACAUGCAAGUAGUCACAAACUUCUGGAUAGGCAAAAUUAAUUGAUGUAAAGUUCUUUCCUUUUCGGGUGGAAUAUAGGUUUACAUUUUGCCCCAACAACUACAGCUGAAAUCUUUCGACUUAACAGAAUGUGGUAUUUUUGAGUAGCCAACAACACAUUUUUUAGCUUUGGCCUUUUCUUUUACACAAAUAAAAUAAAUGAAGUAAAAGUACCAAAAUUUUAUGUAAUUUCUGUCCAAAAUUCUAAAAGCAGUUGAGUUAGCAAACAGUAGGAGAAUAGAGCUUAAUCGUUAUACCAGGCAAAAUAAAAAACACAAAGUCCAACAAAUUAAAGGAGGAAAAUAUGAAUAUCCAUUCAAUCAUGUAAAAUGAAAAUUCUUUCAAAAGUUGGCUUAUCAUAUUCAUUUCACAUUCUAAUAGUAACAUAUCAUCUUCUUAUUUUCUCACAUUUGCAACAAAAAAAACUGAUCGAUAACUCAAUAUUGCUUGAUGACCUAUUCAAAGAUAACAUCAAUAGCAUUUAUCAAACAAUGUAAUAGCUCAUUUGCUAAAAAAAUAUAGGUUAAUUUUAUACUACCUGCAAAUGCAAUUUCAUACCUUUUCCACGUGACAGAAAAGCUCCAAUGAUUAGACUUUAGGAUAAUAAGAAAGUGUGUCAAGUCAGUUAUAAUAAAUCUUAAAAUAUUUUAAUCAAAGAACGGCAAAAUUUGUUGAAAUGUCGGAGAAGCAAACCUGGAAAGUUUUUCUUGACUGGCACACCAACUGCAAGGAAAAAUCAUGGAGAAGUUUAGUGCUAAUUUUUCAUAGAUCCACCAGAGAGGAGACUUAAAGAGUCAAAACAGAUGUUGGCGAAAUUGAGAAGUAGCAAGUAGCGAAAGAAAUGAAACAUACAGAUUUGUAGACAUAUCAGGCUUGCGUUUGCUUUCGGAAUGCAUUUGUUUUGCUCUCUUUUUCUUUUUGGCUUUUCCAAAUAUUAGAUUUAUCAUCAUGUACAUAUUAUAUUUCUCUAAAGAGAAAGCAAAAAAUUUUAGAACACCACCUAAAAACAUCAUGCUACAGUAAUGUAAUAUGCUUUACCUAUAUGCAACAUUCCAAUAAAAAUAUAUUAGCCCUCCAUCUUGCACCAGGAACAAUCGUAGAAUGAUUAAUUAAUUGUCACCAGUUAUAAUUUUCAAUGACCGCAGAAUGUCCUAGCAAGGUUAGUAAUUCAUCGUACAACCAUUCAUCAGUCUUGUUUAACACUGUUUUAUUUUAGGUAAACACUAAAGAAUGAAUAAGGUUAUAUAACUGGAAGAACAAAGUAAAAGAAAAACAGAAGCCACUCCAAAUGUAGAUGUAAAACACCAUGAAAGUAAGAUAUUAGAUAUGUUGGUAUUUCCAUUAAAAUCUUCUAUAGAUAUAUGAUGCAAUUUUGUAAUUGCAACUUUGAAACUUCAAAGUUUUUAUAGAUAAUUCAAUUUGUAGUAAUUAACCGCAAAGCUUACUUAGAAGCGGUACCAAUGGAGAACGUAAAAGUCAAAAAAGCUAGGAAGCAUGGAAAACAAACCUAAAUGGGGAUCUCAGGCAACAACAAUCCUAGAAGAAAAAGGAGAGAAUUAGCGAAGCAGAUAGAGAAAUAAAAAAUUACAUAAAUGAAUAAUUCAAUAACUCUUCACCAAAAAAGCAAUCAUAUUCUAUUAGAUAGAGAUCAAGAUGAAAACAAAUGGAAGAUGAAAAUACUUGUUGGUUAACAUUUAGAGAUGUAAACGAAGUAUAAUCCACUGAGGAAUUAUCCAGUCCAGAACAAAAGACUUAGAGAAUCAUCUUGUAGUAAGAAACAUCACAUGAUUGCCUUCGUAAACUAUGUUACAGGUAGAAUGAUCAUCAUCGCUAGUCGGGGUGGGAGGUCGAAUCAACAAUUUCACACAGUUCGAACUCUUUGCUCUAGAUAAGGCAACAUAAAGUUGGCCGUGGGAAAAUACAGGUUCACACAAAUAAAUUCCCACAAAAUACAAUGUUUGACCCUGCGCUUUAUUUAUAGUCAUAGCAAAGCACAAUCUUACUGGAAAUUGUGUUCUCUUGAAUUGAACAGGUAAUUUUUCAUUAUUUGAUGAUAAUAAUGGUAUUCUUGGAAUAAAUACAUGCGUAUUCUUGAAAUCACCUGCUGCAAUCUUAGCACUUAGAACAUGCGUUUUAAAUUCACAACAGUUUAAUCGCGUGCCAUUACAUAAACCUUCAUAUGGAUUUAAGUUUCGUAAUAACAUAAUUGGACAAUUCUUUUUCAAAGAUAAUAUAUACGGAGGCAAACCUGUAGGGUUUAAAGUAUGCAAUAGAUCUUCAAAUUGUGAUUGAUUGUCAGAUUCAAUGGUCUCAUCAAUACCAACAAAUGUUCUUGCUUUUCCUGAAAAUUGAGUAAUAAGCAUAUCGUUGAUUUCAUCGACAAAAUUAUUUUUUGUUGUCAAAUUACACGGGAGUCUGUACAAGAAGCGUCAUAACCAGAUGAAUUCAAAUAUGGAUAUGUUAUUGUGAAUAGUUUAUCUAAAGAUUCUCUUUCACUUGUGAAAGGCACAAUUAAAGAAUUUGGUACUUCAAUGUUGUUUGUUGCGUUAAGACGUUCUUGUCCAUUCCCAAUUCUUAGAAAAUAAUCACAAAAUGCCGGAUCUGUUUUUGCUCUCAUAUUCUCACAUAAUUGUAUUUUUUCUAGCUUGGCCCAAAUGCUGCAAUAUAACAAACUUUGAUUAAUAAAAUCUUCCUUUUUUCCAUUUCUCACAACGGGAAGAAUUUGUCUAAAAUCACCCCCAAAAACAACUACUUUCCCACCGAAUAAAAUGUGUAUCCAUAGGAUCUUUUAGUAGCAAAUCAAAAACUUCUAGCAUUCUUUUAUUUGCCAUAGAUGCCUCAUCCCAUACAAUCACUUUUGCAUCGCGAAUUAAACUCGCGAGUGCGCUUUGUUUACUAAUAUUGCAGCUGACAUUCUCGUUAAUAUCAAUAGGAAUUUUAAAGCGUGAAUGUGCAGUACGCCCACCAGGGAGAAUAGAAGUAGCAACACCAGAAGUCGCAGUUGCCAAAGCGAUAUAUCCCAUAGACCAUACAGUUGCUAGUAAAGCACGGUAUAAGAAAAUUUUCCCAGUUCCUCCUGGACCGUCAAUGAAAAAUGCGCCUGCUUUGUUAGAAAAUACUCUAUUGAUAAUUACAUCAUAUGCUGUCAGUUGAUUUUUAUUUAGUCUCUCAUGCAAUUGUACCUCGUCUUCACUUACAGUAAUAGUUCUUUCAAAGUGAAUCUCUUUUGCUUCUUUCGCUGCUGCGGAAGUCCUAAUAGUUUGUGGAAUGAGUUGAUAUUCAUUUACAUUGUGACCCAUAGAAUGCAAAAUAUCAUUGAUAUGGUUCAGAACUUGAUAUCGGAUUUCUUUAGUUUCAAUAGUCUAUAACACUUUAUAAUCUUCAGACAUAGACUCUUCAAACUGCUCCCAUAGUUCUCUUGGAUUGGUAGGGUUGCAGUGUACCAAUAAUGUAGCAAACAAACGCCUUAAACUAUAUGGCAUUUGAUAACUUGUUGCUUCAGACAUGCAUUCCGUUAAACUGUUAUCACACUGUAAUAAUCCUCUUUUUUCCACAGAUUCUCUAAAUGAACUACAAGGUUCUCCAUUUACCAUAUGAAGAUUCUCGUACGAUGUCGGCCCACGCACAUGCAUCAAUAAUAAUCUAAGAUAAUAUCGUUUUCCUUCUGUUGGAUGACAUGUUACAACGCGACCAACAGUACAACGACGCUGUCGAAGUGCCCAAAUUUUGUCGCUGGAGGACCACACAAAGUAUUUAGGAAAUUCUCUGUACAAUAAGUUCAGCUUCAUGGCAUUCUCAUUCGUUUUGUUCAUAUAGAAGAACUCGAUCAACAUAGUUUUUUUAAUCAUGGGAUUGUUUACAAUCGUAUUUAUAUCCAUAUUUUUUCUUGAAAGAAACAAGUUGUCCAUCAAGAUGCAGCUGAAGACGAUAAACAUUCGGAGACAUUUCGUUAAUAGGAAAACGAAAGAGACGCCAUACAGCUUCCGGAGGUGAUACCCAUCUAGCAGACCGAUAUUCAUUUACCUCAUCUAUUUCUAUAUUCGCAUCAUUAUUCUGUACAGAAAAUGCAAUUUUGUCAUGUCCUUUACAGAUGUACUUAUAAAGGUACUUCACAACUUUGAUAUCAGAGCAAACUUCAACAUUUAUGUGACAAUUGAAUUUACCGAAUAAAUAUGGGUUGUAUGAGACGACCCAAGAGUUAUCUAAGUCAUGACCUCUUACUUUCACAACUUCACCUGUGUUUCGUCUUCUAUAAAUUGGAUAAGAAUCAUUUCCUUUUGAUGUUUGAUCAGCAAACAUUUUUGGAUAUUUGAACUUGCAAGAACCUAUUUUUUUCCUCAUACAGAAAUUUGUUGGGUCUAAACUACCACAGGGACCGUGCAUCAUAUGCUUAAGAACAAGCUUACGCAAAUCUGAGUCUGCAUUAGCAUCUGGUAAUUCUGCUCUAAUUAUUUCAUCGUAUGCUUCAGUUGUCAACAAUUUAUAGUCAUUCUGUAAUAUAAUAAGAAAAUGAGCAUGAGGUAAACCUCGUUUUUGAAACUCAACGGUGCACAUAAAAGCAACAACUUUUCCAAAGAUAUUUCGUUUUAGAAUAUCCGUCUUCAGCUCUUCUAUCUUGGCCCUAAAUACGCGACUAAUCAAAUCAGGUCUAUUUUGUGCCUCAUCGCUAAGUGCUAAAUGUUCCUCAAUUUCUGGCCAAGUUGGGUUACAUGUCAUCGUUACAAAUAAAUCAGGCUUUCCAAAAUACUGCACUAAUGCAAUAGCGUCCAUAUAACGUUGACGCAUAUCUCUAGGCCCUCCUAUAAAUGAAUUUGGCAGAAAUGUUUGUUUUCCAACAUUAGAAGCAUCUCGUUCACCAAGUCUUAAAAUAUCAAGAAGUCCAUUUAACAUAUCCAUUCUGAACAAAUCUUGAUUGAAGAAAACAAAAUCCAAUCUUUGAGUCUCCAAUUUUAUAUAUUCAUCAACCGAAUACUGUUGAAGUAAUCUACCUGUAUGUAGAAGUUCAUCUUCAUCAUCGUUUCUCAUCUAGAGCUUGUAACUGUAGUAUUCACGAACUGAAACUGUAUCUCUCUUUCGUUUCCCUUUUUGCAUAACUUGAUCUUCCAUAUCAAGAUAUCCGUCAACAGAGGUGAAAGUUUUUAUAUUUGGUAGUUGUUCCAAAUCAGACAAAGCAUAAUUUUUAGGCAUAUUUUCUUCCCCAUGAAACUUUCUAAUGCCACAAUGCCACCCACUUUGGCCAUAUGGAAAUAGUAAAGGAUACUAUAAAGGAUCAUAACAGCUAAAAUAGUAGUUCACUCUUUGCGUUCUAUUGCUAUGAGUAUAAAUUUGAAUGUGCGGUACAUGAAUAGCACCAACAUCAUUCUCAUGAAACCAUAUUGUUGCAACCUCAGUAGUACUGGGCAAGUUAAAUAUUCGUUGAUCCAAACCAGAGUUACAUUUAAGUGCGAUGUGAUAGUUCUGUAAGUUCGAAAUCUCAGAUAAAGCUCGUAAAAAUAUAGAAUAUGGAUUAUCUUUCAGUGUGUCUAUCAAUUCCCUCACUAUCAAUUCAUCUAUUUUAUCAGAGCAACCCAUUCUAUUUGCAAUCUCAUUGUCAUUAUCAUAAAAAUACAACUGCAAAUUUUUUGGCCUUCUCUGUGCAGGAUAUAAAUCAUCUAUAAAGUGAUACAUUUGACCUUGAACUCUGAAUGUGUAUAUACCACGGUUUCUUUUGGCUAGAUCUUUAUCGUAACUGACACCAAGCGAGCUAAAAGCAAACAUAUUAUUAUACGUUCUAAUAUACGUCUGGAAGUGCUUGGAUUUUGCAGAAGAUCCUAGAUAUAAAUUUCUCAGUGCAGGUGGCAUUUUAUGAUAAGUCAACUUAACUGUACCGUUAGCACAACAAAACGAAGGCGGUUCAUACUGAAAUUUUUUUGCCGAGCAGAAUUCACAAUUUGGCACUUUUUUAAGUGGAACAUAGUCAGAGCAUAAUCGGAUAUUAUUAGCAUAUUUCUCUUUUUUUCAUAACCAACAUUAGUCAAUUUUUUCAUAUUCUUUACAUGACCUGCAUACUCCAAAUAGACUUAAGGAGUGGAAAAUAUUAUGAAACACCAAAAAAGUAGAAAUGAUAUGUUAUGUUCAUACUAACCGUCAACCAAAAUCGGCUCAAAGGAUAUAGCACUUGACUCAUUUGAAGUGCCUGAUGUAGAACCUGAUGCAAUACGAUUAUGGAUUAAACACGUGAGCACAACAGAUGUAGAAUUGUCAGUGAUCAAGGUUACAUGAUUUCCUUUUUCAAAGACAUGAAAAGGGCACAACACAUUUUUCACCUUGUGAAGCACAGCGGGUGGCGUACAAACUUCACAUUCAUUGGUUGCUGCAAGAAUUUUUUUUUAACAAACAUGAGAACCAAAUGGGCAUAACUGUUUCACAUGCGCACUCAUAUGUGUGUGUAUAUACAUAUAUAUAUGUGGGAAAAGACAUAUAGUGAAUUUAAUGUUCUAACCUGUUUUUGGCAGAGAACAAGAGGCUCCAGCAGCAAAAUUACUUGACAGAUGCUGGUUCAACAAGAUUGACAUAAGUUUUACUUGCGAGAAGACGAUUAGUUGUUGUCUCUCUUUUUUUUAGACGUCGUUGCAGCAGAAGCGCAUUCUUUUCAGCCAUGGUCAUAUUGCUGUAUACUUCACGUCGUUGGCAUUCUUGUCAUAAGCUUUUGCCGUUAUGCAAGGACGUUUUUUUGUUUGAUGAGGAUCCAUUGUUAAGAGAACUUGAGUUUUACAAAUGUCACUAUUCUAAUCACAGUACAAACCUACAUCAGAAAAAUAAAGAUCAAAAGGUGUAGUAACUUGCCAUAUAUCAAUUUUAAGUCUUAGGCUUUCUCGUUAGGCAACUCGAUUAUGUUAAUGAUAAGACGAACAAACAUAGAGAUUAAAUUAAACCCUGUUAAUAUGAAGGACAAAUAUUUAUAACCUAUCACCAUACAUUGAAUUUUCGCUCACUGUAUAUGUUGCCUAUGUUAUCCCAUUCAACAACGUUUAUCAACUUAUCAGAUUGCACACUAAAUAUAACUGAUUGUACAAUAUGAUGUCAAUCAGUAGGCAUCUCACUCACCGUGACACCUAAUUAACUAAUUUACUACUAAAUAUAACUGAUUGUACAAUAUGAUAUCAAUUUGUAGGCAUCUCACUCACCGUGACAUCUAAGGCACGAAAAAUAUGAAAUUAGAUUUCCAAUGCAAGACUAAACAUUUUUUAGGAUAGUCGAUAAUCAGAUAUACAUUGUUAGUGUUCAGAUCUACAUCACAAAAUUAUAGAGUUAUAGAAUUGAAGGUGUUCACCACUUCGGCUAGGCUUUGCCGUGCUUACGUGGACGAAUGAUUGGAUAGCAAGAUAUAACAACCAAUUAAUGUGUAGUAGUACAUAGAAGAACAAAAAACUGAUGAGACAAUCUCAAGAACAAAAAAGUAAGGAGCUUUGCGUCGUCGUGCUAGCUUGUCAUGCUUCCCGAUCGUAACGGUAUUAUGGAGAAUUCCCAUGUUUUUUUGCUAUAUUCAGCGUAUUGGCCAGAAGGGCCAGCUAUAAUCAUCCGGUGUAAUUAGCUUUCUAUGAUGUACACGUGCCUUUUAUCAUGAUUUCAUGACCAACAGGCCAAGUACAACUUCAAAUUCUUUAGCUUACGUGUUGAUUCAAAAAUCCUAAUGAUACUUUUCAUAAAAAUUAUGUUUGUUUAAAAUCUUUUAAUCAUCAAGGUGGAAUAAAGGAAGCUAAAAUCAAAGGUCAAUACUGCAGUAGAAAGUGUUUAUCUGCAGGUGCCUAAAAUAGCAACGCAAUAAGCAUGUGACACUGUUUAUCUUGUUCAUGUGGAUACAAUUCUAAACUCAUCCCUUUUAUUGUUCUAAUAGCAGUAAGACAAACAGGGGGAGAAGAAUUUAGCAUUGAUUUUAAGACCACAUUCAUCACAUCAUAAAGAUUAUCCCUCAUGGUCUGGGAGGAAUAAAUGAAUUCCAACGAUACUUUAAGCUAAAAUAGAGUCACAACUUCCAGUUCAACGAUAUAAAGCAUGAAAACCUUCUGUAAUUUCCAUUAAAGUAGCCGGAAUCAUUCGGAGCAGAAAAUAAGUAAAGUAUUUCAUUCCCCUAACCAAGUAUCCUAUUAAAUAUACAUACAUACAUACAUACACAGACACAUAUUUAUAUAUGUAUUGUAUAUGUAUAUAUGCUUAGCAGUCUACUUGUAGAAGUUAUCAAUACCAAAUCUUCCAAGUUUAUUGUUAAAGGGAAAAGCUUAUGGUAUAUCACCUACAGUCACACAUGUUCACAUUAAAAAAAAUCAAAAGCAUGGCAAUAACAAUACAUAUAAAAGCAGAAUAUAUACUACUGAAGAAGUCAAACAACAUAUGCAUAACAAAUUCGUCACAACAUAUCCAAUUUUCCAUAGGGAACUAUGCUAAAACCUAUCAAAGAAAUCGACACAAGAGCAAACUUGAAAAAGCAGAACAAACUAUAAAAAGAUCAAAAUAGAAUUCCCAUUUAACCAAAUACUAGACACAAGAACCUCAAAAAUCUAUUACUGCUCGGCACAUCGUUUACCCAAAAUAAAAUCAAAAUUACCCAAAAUAAAAAUCAUCAAACUAUUCUUCAUAGAAAGUGUGAUUCAUUGAAGAUUUUUUGUCAAACACAUAUAAGACCCUUAUUAUCAGAGAAAUACACAAAAGUUGAGUAAAAAGAAUCGAAAUUCAAAUUCCAGGUAAAACAUAACUAACCUGAUAACUAUGUCCACGAAACGCACAAAUUGAGCCGUAAGAGAAAAGAUCGAAAGAGAGAUUUGAGGGAAAUAGGAGAUGAGUUGAUAAAGUAAUCAAAAUGAAGAGAAACAGUGGAAGUGUGGAUCUUCUUCGGAAUUCUGUGGCUUUGGGCUUUUGCAUAGCGGCAGCUGUACCUCUGCUAAAACGUGGCAGAGAUGGAAAAAUUCAGAGAUAGCACGUGUCCAUAAAGCGAAAUGCUAUUCCGAAAAUACCCUUACUACCCCAAAGCUAGCUUCUAUAAUAGUAGUAAAGUAAUAUAAAUAGAAACCUAUACAAGUCAAAAUCACCCAAAAGCACACUGGGCAAAGAUCUUUAUACUUUCGCCAUAAAAAAUCCACAAAAACCGACUUCACUUCAAAUCAAUUAUUUUACUUAUCUAUAGGUCAUUCGUUCUAAUUAGUUCACACAACAAAUCAAUCAAUAUUAUGAGGAAAAGGGAAAGGGAAAAUCCAUGUGGUGUUUGUGGGCAUUAUCACAAAUAUGAGGAAGGCGAAGUUUGUGGGAUCUGUGGACACCGAAUGCCUGCUGUUUCUGAAAAGGGGAUUCAACUCAGUGCGUUCCCUUCUGAGAUCUUGCCUGAGUUUCUAUUUUUGGGUAGCUAUGAUAAUGCUUCUCGUGCUGAGCUUCUCAAAACUUUUGGGAUUUCUCGUAUUCUCAAUGUUAGUAGUAUUCUUUUACUAAUUUGUCCUCAAUAAAUUUGUCAGUAUUGGAUUUAAGUUAUAUAUACUGAUUAUCAAUUGCAUGUUUAUUUGAUUAUCAAUUAAUGCUUAUCAAAAGUGUACCUUAUAAGUAACCUGAUAGUAUAAAAAAUGUUUACAUAGUAUUUAAACUCAUUACUAUUUAUUAUUGUUUUCUGUCUUUUGCUAUUUCUUGGAUUCCUGUGAAUACAGUCAAACCUCCCUAUAACAGCCGCAACCGUGUUUGUUCCGAUGUUUUCUGGAUGUUAUAGUGAAAUGCUGUUAAAGAGGACAUAUAUUAUUCAAGAAAACUUGGUUUAUAUAGUGAAUGACUGUUAUAUAGGGAUGUUGUUAUAGAUCCUUUUGGAAUGAAAUGGAAUUAAAUAGAGUCGGUCAGGAGGAUUCAUCUAGUCGACCCCAAGUCGCCAACUAAUGUGGUUUUGCGCCAUGAUUAUUUGAUUCCUUGAGUUGAGUUGGUUUUGGAGUGUAACGGAACUAAAUAGAGCAUAAGGGAUGAACAAAAUUCAUAUUAAAAGAACCCAAGGCUUAGUCUGUUGAUUGAAUAGUUAGAUUGCUUUGGGAGCAAAAGUUGAAAGAUUUAACAGUGUGUUGGGUGAAGUAGCAAUCAGUAGACUUGUUCUGCUUGGGAAUUUUUUCUCUGAUCAAAAGUGCGUGCCUGUGAUUGAGGGAUUUUGGGAUCUAGUUAGUAUUUCUUGCAUUAGCUUUUUAAGAUAUGAAAUCACUCAACUUGAUGGCUUAACUCCUUAAUACUUUGUCUAAAGAGAGCUGGAUAUAGAGGUGGAUUUAAAGGCAGUGUCUGAAUUAUUACCUAUUAAACUUUGGUUAAACUUUUUAUACACACAUAUAGUCGGCUUAUAAGCAUUGGUUGCAAACUUCACCUGCUUAAUAUGCUGGAUCUACUGGAUUUGCCUCCGAUAGGAUGGGAAUGUACCUGAAUUUCCUGGUCAGAUAGUACCUUUUACUUUUUUGAAUUUAGAAAAGGGAGAGCUUUCGCCAUAUUUUGAUUAACGAAGAAGCAAACAUUACUUAAGCACCCAAGGCCCAAGGGUGUGGCCUAGUAAUCAAUGAAGUGGGUUAAAACCAUGAGAUCUCAUGUUCAAUUCUCAAGAGAGACAAAAAAUACUAGGUGAAUCCCAUCUAUUCAAGCCUAGUGGAUAGAGUUACCUGGUACCUGUUGCUGGUGGGCGGUAGUUGGUAUCCCGUGGAAUUAGUCAAGGCGCACGCCAACUGACCCGAACACCGUGGUUAUCAAAAAAAGAAAAGAAAAAAAGAAGCAAGCAUCACUUACACUUUCCACGAGUCACUCACACAGGAUCUAGUGAUGAGAUGGGAGAGGGGCUAGGAAUUGAGUUUAUCACUUUUGUUUUUCAAUACUUAUCAAUGCGUUUGUUUGAAUCAUGUAAGAAAUCUUCCUUACUGGUUAGUACUGUCUAGAUAAUCAUUCACAAGUUUCAAGCCUAGCUUUGCCUUAGGUGCUUUAAACUUGCAAGAAAUUAGGGUAGUGAUUUUAACCUUAAAGAUGGCCUUCCCCCUUUUCUUUUUUAAUAACCGUGGUGUCUGGGCCAACUUGUGCGCACCUUGACUAAUUCCACGUGAUACCUGCCACUUCCCACCACCAACAGGUUCCAGGUAACUCUUUUUUUUUUAUAACCGUGGUGUCUGGGCUAACUUGGCACACCUCGACUAAUUCCACGGGAUACCCGCCACUUCCCACUACCAACAGGUUCCAGGUAACUCUAUCCACCAAGGCUUGGAUAGAUGGGAAGAAAUCACCUAGUGUUUUUUGCCUCCGCUCGGACCUCAUGGUUCUCAGCCACUUUAUUGACUACUAGGCCAUACCCUUAGGUGCAAGAUGGCUUUUUCUUCUUAUAAGGAUACUUCUUGAAGGAGUAGAGGAUAUGAAUAGUGCAGGUGCGGAAAGAUUGUCUCAUAGGGGGCUAUUAUGUACAAUAAACAUGCUGUCAGCUAGGUGCAGAAGAGAAGCAAAUGGGGUCCUCUCUUACUUGAGCAUUUAGUUUCUUUCCUUCUUAUCUUUGUGAAUUUGCAAAUGUACCCUCAUCUUAAAUGAGGUACUAACUAGCACUGAUUUUUAGUGUCAAUACAAUUUGUACCAAACUACUUCAUAAAAGAUACUGUAACCCUUUGAAGAAAAUGCUAAAAUUGCAGAUAUAACCAGGGAUUAGUCUGUUUAGCAAAGCACAUAUUACAUUUCAAUACCGGCCUUUUCUCUAGGAAAGGAUCUGUGGAUAUGGUUCUUUGUUAUCUUAUAUUGUUUACCACUUAUAUAAAAAGAACAAAACUUUUAGUAUUUGCCACUUAGCCAGAAAAGGAAGGAUGCAAGUGUGAGACGAUGCAGCCAGUGCUAGGUGAGUGUUUGGGAGUUCUCUUUGUAGGUUUAUGCUUGUGAGAAUGCAUGGUGGCUUGAUUGAUCUGUAAUUUAUAGUUCAUAGUUCUUCAAAUCCUCAGUUAUCAGUUAUGAUUGCUAAAAACCCUUUUUAGUGGUCAUCAGUAUUUGAUGACAGGAGGUUUGAGGGAAACAAUGCUGCUUAAUUGGAUUAGAUCUUCUUAAGCUCGUGUCUAAGCAUGUGCAUGAGAAAAGUUCAAUAUUUAAUGUACUUGUAUAAUAAAAUUUUCUAUUGGACCAUCUUCAAAUGCAUUAUUUGUCUGGAGGCAAAAGGUCAUGAGUCAAUAAUGUGCCAAACAUACCAAGGGUUAUAGAAGUGAUCAAGAUAGUAUGAACUUGCUAAAGUUGUCUCUGUAACUUUAGCAGUGAUUGUCACGGCUGUAACAUGUGAGUGUGCUUGUACUUAUGGAGUAUGGUGACAUAAGGUACAAUCUUGUAAGAGUGGAGUUGCUGUUAUCUCUGAAUAGCCAAAACGGGAAGGGAGAUAAAUGCCCUCAUAGGUCAUAACAUAUCAGCUCAGUCUCUAUCGUUGGACCAACCAGUCCUAUUUAAAUAGGUCUACUGUCUUCUCAGAUUUUGUGAGCGCUCUCACUCUAGUAUAGUCUAGUCUCUCUAAUCUACUCUUUUUUGGCUCGCUCCCAGCCCCUAUCAGAACAUCUUGUAUGGAGCUAGCUCUCUACUUUUGUUAUCGCUGCAUCUUCUUGAUGCCAUUCAAUGAAUCUACUUUCUUUAUCACAAAAAAAAAAAAGUCAUAUCAUAUUAGCUUGGAUUUUGUUUUUUGCACCUUCAUUUUAUUCAUUAAAUAAUUUUUAACUUACCAAAAAAGGAGAAAAGAAGAUCCAUUUCAGAAAAAAGAAGAAGAGCAUAAUUCCUUUUUAGGUUGAGUGCUUGACCAGCUGUAGUGUAUCCUGUUUUUAUCUGUCUGCACAUUAUUGAUUGAGAACCUUUUUUCCACUUUUAUUUAUUUAAUUAUAUGGUAACCUAGCACUAAAUCAAACUCCCUACCUAAGAUCCUGGCAAUAACCUUCUCCACUUUGCUCUCUUGGUGACUCGAACUCCCAACAUAUCAUGGUUAGAGGGCCCUUGUUAUUAGUCAUUCUCUCCCAUGUCAUUAUUGAUUGGGGAUCUUGAUUAGCUAUCUUGCAUUACUAAUUAAUGAAGGAAAAGGUGAAGUUUGCAGUUCCAUUUUUUCAUAUAUAUAAUGGAAAUUCCAAGACAACUUGCAUACACCUCGACUGUUCUACCGAGCACUUGCAUCCUCUCACCAUUAAAGAUAUUGGGUAAUUGUAGCCACCAAGGCUUAGUAGAUGCAAAGGAAUCAAUUAGCUUUUUUCCCCCUGUUGGAUCCGAAUCAUGCUCACACCCUUGGGUGCGAAGUCUGCAAUCCCUUAGGCAACUUAGCAGUUGAAUAUUUAUAUCACAUAACAACUAGAACCUGAUGAGGUUUUUUAUAUUCUCAACUGAGUUGAGCUGCGUUAUCUAGGGAUUAGACUGUUAGAUGUGACUGAAACGUCGCAAAAAGGUACAUUGCUAAUUUACUUCCCUACUCAUUCUACUACACAUGGCUGUUUUUCUCUAAUUUAUUUAUAAUGCAAUACAAUGGUGAGAAGAUAUUUACCAUCUAGAACAAACUGAAAUAUUCUAGUUCUCCUCUUGCCAUUCUAAUGUUCACUUGUAAUUGGUCUUAAACUUUAUGAAGUGGAAAACAUGGUUAGGGAUAUGCCUCUUCAACAUGGACGAAAUGUUAGAAAACACAGUUAUGUUGAAUGUUGACAGUACCUGUCUUGGAGAGGGUUUCUUUGCCAAAUUCAUGUCAUUCUUUGGACUAGACUCGAGGAAUAAGGGGGAGGGGUUUCGAAUGUUUUGCUAAAUGAUACUCUACAGUGGGAGAUAGAAGCAGUGCGAAAGGAGACCUUGGAAAUCCUAUGGGCUAUAUAGAUGAUCUGUUUUUUUAAGAACUUGUGAUCUUUCUAUUUACCUGGGGGAGUGACUCUUAUCAUUUUAUUUGUUAUUUUUUAUUUGAUUAGGCAACUCCCCUCAUUCUUUAAAUUUGAUACUAGAAGAUGGAUGAACGGAUGGGUAAACAAAAAGAAGCUAUUGUACUUUAGACUAUCUAUAAGAGGAGACCAUAUGAAAGAAUGUGAGGGAUUUAAGAACGUGCCCCUUCUGUAGUGUUCGUUUGUUCUCGUUCUCAAAAGAGAAAGAAAAGGGUUUGACAGGGCGGGGGGAAUGUAAAGGAUUCUUUGGCUCGUGACAGAGACACAACACAUAUACACAUGCAGAGAGAUUUUUCCCAGUGGUGGAGGGCAGGGUUGGGAAGAGGGGAUGUUUGUGUUUCCAUUUUUCCUAUGUCCCAUUUUCUUGUAAAAACACGAAUAUGACAAGUGUUUAGAUUUUAGCAAUGUCACAUAUUUUAACAUUUUCCCAAGAUAAAUGAUGCUGGUCUCACUAAGGACAUUUCUUUCUUUCUAUAUUUAUUUGUAUGGUAUUUUGCUCCUUUGUAUGGACUCGGAUAAAUGAACUAGAUAUAUGUACUUUUGGAUCCAUAAAACCAUAGUGGAAAGUAUAUACUUUUCUCUUGAAUCGUAUUAGAUGGUUCUUUUUUCUUUCUGGUACUUGAGAAAUCAUUCAUUGACAUGACUUCCAUGUGCUCUUUGUGGCCCAUGUUCUUGAUUGUUGACACUGAGUAUUCACUUUUUUAUUUUUUCUAUGUCAGACAGUACCUGCUUGUCAGAAUCUUUAUAAAAAUUCGUUCACUUAUCACUGCCUUCAAGAUGACCAAAAUUUGCCAUUUGAUGAUGCUAUCCAAUUCUUAGGUGAGUAUCAUUCUCUUUACUUUGUUGAACCUAGCACAUCUAAUCUUGAUUUGGAGAUCUAUGAGACAUUUCUUUUGUUUUUUUAAAUGAAAAGGUAGGGAUCUCUAUGAGACCCUUCUCUUUAAAGUAGUUCUUUAGUUUGGUCAAUUAUUUGCUGUUGCAAUCCUCUUAAGGUGCCUCGUUCAUUGGAAAUUAUGGAGUGAGGACUGAUUUGUGUGAACAAACUAAUAAUGCAUACUAUUAUUUCUCAAUCCCAAGUAAGUUGGGGUCCGUCAUAUGAAUCAUUAUUGUCUACGUCAUUCCAAUUAAGCGUGUCUUUGUUCAAUAUUAUAAAUUAUUAGUUUCUCUAGCUGUGUAGCACUAGAAGCAUUCUACAUUUUUUCCUGGCACAUAAAUAGCGGACAAGACUAUAAGAAUCUUAGCAAACAGUGGACCUAAAGUAAUGUACUGAGAUGAAUAAAAUCUUAUCCCAAAUAAUUGGUAGUCUAUAUAGAUCUUUUCCUUUCAUUUGUCCCUAUCUUUGUUAGCUCUGCAUGAAUCCAAGAUGUUGUAGGUCUAUAGAUAAUUUCAUUCCAUGUGAUUUUAGGCCUACCUCGUUCCCUUUUAACUCCUUCAAUCUCCAAGAUUUUACUUAUAUGGACUGGUGCCAGUGCAUCUGCAGGUCGACAUAGGACAUGACCUGAUCAUCUUAAGGGACAUUCUCUCAUUUAAUCCAUCACUGGUGCUACUUGCAUUUUAUGCUGAAUGUGAUUAUUUAUAAUCUUGUAUGAUCACACAUCCAUUUUAACGUUUGUGUGUCUACGACACUUAUCUUGUGGAUACGUUAGGCUUUGAAGCUUAUUAUUUAUACAAACUAAUAAUCUAUCACCAAACAAUUUUGUUGAUAUUGCAAAAUGUGAUAUUUAGGCUGUAGUGUUGUUUAGUGGAGUAUUCUUCACCAUAUGGAUAGAAAUAAUAUAACAAUUAUGGUAUAAAUAAUUCCGACUAAUCCCAAAAUCAAAAGUUCAACCAAACACAGGAUAAAAUAAUUCCGUAUUUUAUCCCGGAAUUAUUAUCCCUUACUCACAAACCAAGCCACCCCGCGAAGGUAUGGCCUCUUGCUUUCCAUGAGAUUGUGAACCAGCUUCUGAGUUCACUUCCUCAUCUACAGCCUUCUUCUUUGUGUUUUACUGCUUUGCCUCUUUAGUUCAUCUUCCUCUGCCUCUGAAGGUACAAAAAACCAUAGCGAGUUAAACUGCUAUAUAAAUGUAUUAGAUUGAGUUUUGUUCUCUGCUGGACAUUGAAUGGUAGCUUUCUCUAGUUGAAUGUUGAGCCAUGUAAUGUUUGAUUAUCACAGAUUUGUUUACAACAGGUUCACCUGGAAAGGCGAUCUUGUUUUUCUUUUUUUUUUUAAAAACAUUCUAGUAAGGUUCUUUAUACAUGUAUUUCUACAUGACAGCAUUUAAUAUGUUUCAACUGAAGCCUCCGUUUACAUGUCUCUAGCUGUUGCAUCAUUACUAACGAAGACACCGUCGGCCUUGACUGCUACAGUAGAUAUCAUGCUUAUGACCUCAAGCUUGUUCUCCAGUGUUCUUUCAUGUUUUGUUGGAGGCAUUGUGCUGGCUAAUCUGAGAAUAUUUCUUUUUGCGCAGAACAAUGUGAAAAGGAUAGGGCUCGUGUUCUUGUGCACUGUAUGUUAGGCAAAAACAGGUAAGGAGAUUGAUUAUCAAUUUUUCACAUAAGCCUCAUUACAUUUUGCCUUUUUCCUUUCGUGUUUGUGCUUUAUCCUUUUCUCCUCCAUUCUCUUGUUCUCCCUUUGUGGGUUUUCCACAAUUAAGGUAUAGAUGUUAAACUUGUGCUCUUUUUUCAGCUUCCUCUCAGAAACUUAAACAACCUUUAGUGCUAAAACAUAAUAUUUCUCACUGAGAAUGAUAAAUGCAGUAAACUGUUACAGCAGUUUUCUGGAGUGGCUUUCAAUUGAUUGUUCAUGCAGAAACCACCAUUUUGGUUUGUGCAAGGUUUUUAUAUAUAGAACUCAUAGACUUGUGCUUUUUUGAUAGGUCGGCAGCCAUUGUAAUCGCUUAUUUGAUGAAAAGUAGAAGAUGGAACCUUGCACAGAGCCUUCAGUGGGUGAAAGAGCGAAGACCUUCUGUUGACCUAACUCAAGGUCUACAUACUCUGCUAUCUUUAUAAGGAUUUCUUCUUUUACAUACAGUUGAAAAGCGAAAAUAUUAAGGUACUAACUCUACACAUUCUGAGAAAUGCAAAUCUGUGAGAUGACAAACCCUGGUAUCCAUAUAGUUAAAGAGGUCAGAUAGUUGAUCUUGAUUUUGGAUGCUAUUUUCAUACUCGAAUGGUAAAUUGAAAAAAUAGGGAUGGGAAAAACUGCACAACAUUAGUGCAUCGUUGGUGAUAUAAACUGUGACCAAGCUAAUAGAGUUAAGUCAUUAUGUAGUGACUUCUAGAAUUAGAAGAUCAGAGCCCGUUAACCUUUGUGUUGGUGAGUUGCCAGCUCACAAAACCUUUCUUUCUUCACUUGGGCUGUGGCUGCUCUUUGAAACUGAUAUUAGUUAAAAAGUUUACUUCUAGCUUUGCGUCUCUCUGACGCCUUCUUUUCUUUACCUCUACAGAGGUCUACCAACAGCUACAGGAGUACGAGCAAAAGAUCUUGGCGUCACUUGAGAACCAGCCCUGCCCCGUCAUGCCAGCCUUCCCUUCUCCUGUGACAUCCUUCAACUUUGGCUUCCCAAAGCCUAGCGACCCCAUUCCUCCUCCAGCCUUCAAUAAUUCUAGUGCUCCUUCACUUUUUGCCCGUCCUGCUUUUGACAUUCCUCCACAGGAAUUCACUUUUGGUGCUGCUCAUAAUCAGGGCAACGUCUCACAAAGCCCUUUGAGUGCCAAUCAAAAUCCAAAUGGUAGCGACAUUUCCAUGGAUGGUUCGUGAUACUGCAUGCCUUUUGCCUUGUGAAAAGUCCUCAACUUCAACGAGUAUUCAGAAAGUUAUGCCAGUUGCUGACGCCAAGAGACCAAGUUUUUCAGAAGUUUGGAUGUAAAGUGGGAGUAAGUGCUGUAUACAUCACUAGAUGUAGAGUUGGACAUCCCUGUAACUUAAUGUGCCAUCAAAUGGACUCGUUAUUCAGGAAAUCCAAGUAACUCUUGCCUAAUCUGUACGAGAUAUUAAAGCCUGUUUUCGUGUGGGUCCUUACUAAUAGAUUUUGUGUAGAAAAUGACUGUUAAAUUACGGCAAAAGUAGGUGAAAUUUGUUAACAUUUUCCUUUUAUACCAAGUCUCCUGCUGAGAAGCUGCUUCUCAUGUUUGUGUUAAGUAUAGUUAAGACUCCAAAACCUACUCAACCAGAACAUUGUGAACGGUAAUAAUCAUUGAUGGUGGAUGUCCAAAAACCAAUCUUUCCAGAGUGAAAACAAGCCCCAGUAUAAAUACAUCAAAAGACUUUGGCUCCCAACUUUUGCUCUUGUAUUGCAAAAAGGAAGAAAUUGAAGAUAUUCCCUUUCUCAGAUUCCAAGAUGACCCACAACAAAGAUUUUGGAAAACAUUUUCUCUAGGUUCCUGUUAAAAAGAAUAGGGUAUAAUGCAAUCUAUUUUGACAAUCACACAGUUGGCAAAUACUAGCAUAAGUAAAUUGAUCCUACAACAAAUUGCUUCAUUACCAUUCAAUUUGGUGUAUGCAUAGAAUGAUUAUCAAAAGAAAAAGCAGUAGUCAGGAGAACCACGCGUAUGUCAUUCAUCCAGAAAAAAGCAAAAGAACUUCUAAAGUUUCAUAGAGCAUGUUUGGCCAACCAUUUUGUGAGGCCAAAAGUAUUUUCCCCAAAAAAGUACUUUUCGAAAAAUUUGAGCGGUUUGGCCAAUACAAAGAAGUACUUUUGGCCAGUAGCAGAAGCAGUUUUUCUGCUUUUGAGAAGAAGCAGAAAAUUCUAGUUUCUUCCAAGAAGCAGAAGCAGAAGUAGAAAAUUAAUUUAUUCAAGACAAAACCAUUCUCACCAUAAAUUUGAUUUUCCAAAUUAUCCCUUACAAAUUUAAGUUUUUUCUUUUCAUUUUUGUUUCUAGUUUUUAUCUUUCUAUUAAAAUUAAAGAUAUCAUAUAUAUAUGAAUCCUAUUGUAACUUUCCAAAAUUUUAUUAACUUUUCUUGUUUUUGAUUUUUUUGUGUGUGUAAUGUCUUAUAACUUUCUAAAUUAUCUUCUUCCUUUUGCACACUAAAGCAAAUUAUCUGCAUCCUUCUUUGGAUUAUCAAUUCUCUUCCUACAAAUAAUCAUUUAUAAUUUCUUCUAUUAUAUGCUAUUAGUUCCCGAAUCUUUAAAAUAGUUAUCAAAUCUAAUUUGUGAAAAUGACUUACAAAUAGGUAAUAAAUUUAAAAUUGCAUUGCAUAAUCUAUCUAUAAUCCACAUUAAGUCAAGUGGCAGCCUCACAAUAGGCCACCUGGCAUUUUAGGACAAAGUUUAGUAAGGUUAUGUAAUAAUUAGUUUUUUUUAUAAUUUGAAUUUUUUUUAAAAAAAUAAACUAUACAUUAUAUGUUGUUACUAAUUAGUUACUCUUUUUGAAUUAGAAUUUAAACAAACUUAACUAUUUCUUUUACGAUUUUUUUAAUAUAUUUAAAAUUAUUUCUAUUUUACGCUCAAUGCCAUUUUUCAAGUUUGACACUCAGAAUCAUCUAAUUACAACUACCAUGGCUAUACAUAAUUUCAUCCGACGACAUUCUUCUACCGAUACAAAAUUCAAUUAUUAUGCUAAUGAAGACAUUACUGCAGAGAUUGAUGAAAGAGAUGAGCCUUCUCAUAUUCCUUUAGAAAUGCGAGGUAAGUCUUCUACUAAUAUGGAGGCGUUGUGUGAUGGAAGUAGAGAUGAAAUUGUUGAGAAAUAUUAUCAUGUGUGAGUGACUUUACUUAUUAUUUCAUGUUGGAUUAUUAAUAUAUAGUAAUUUGUGGAUAGACUUCUAAUUUAUACUGAAUGAUGUUAUUUUAAUUAUUCAAAUCAUCAUAUAACAAUAAGUAAUUAUACUAGAUCAUAUCAUAUGAUUUGGUAUAGCAAUACAUGUAAAAUUGAUUUAAAUCUUUAAUAUGUUUGUUUACUUUAUGUUUUAUAUUUUAAUCAAAUCAAAUAAAAAAUAAUAAAAGUCUCUUACGAGAAAUAUUUAAGUUCAUUUUUCUAUUUAAAAGAAUUAUAAGAUCUUAAUACUAUCCUUUUUGGUAAUAUGACGCUCAAAAGCACUUUUAAAAAGAUUGACCAAAUAUAAUUUAUUUACCAAAUGUUGCAAAAAGUACUUUUUAAAUGAACUGGUCAAACACAAACAAUUUUUUUCAAAAGUACUUUUCAAAAUACGACAAAUUUUGGCAGCUUAGCCAAAGGAGCUCUUGAUGAAACAAGCAAGUGGGGUAAUACAGUAAUUGGUGUGUGACCACACAUGUUUUUCCUCUUUAUCAUGAUCAAUCUUUCCCUUAGAAUAAUUUGACUUUCAUUUUUAUUUUUGGUAUUUGCAAACAAAUGUAUUCGAAAAAUAUUUAGAUCUAAUUAAUUAUGUAGUUGCUUGGAAGGGAAGCCUUGAAGCAAUGGUAAAGUUAACUCGGUGUGACUUAGGUCACGAAUUCGAGCUGUGGAAUCAACUACUGAUGCUUGCAUUAGGGUAGACUGCCUACAUCACACCCUUUGGGAUGCGACCUUUCCUUGGACCUGCGUGAGCGCGGAAUACUUUGUGCACCGAACUACCCUUAUUAUAUAGUUGCUCAUUGUAUGUCCUUAGUACUUUGAUACAUGAUUUUUCAGCCAAGUGUAUACCUAAGUUUGCACCCAAUUAAUUUUCAUGUGUUACAGAUUUUGUAUGGUUAGGUAUUUAUACUAUAUUAUAGCUAUAGUUAGAGUUCUAGGAUUAGUUAGUAUUGUCAUUAUCUUGGUCUAUGAUGUGAUGAUAAUUACUCAAUAUGUUAGCUUCGUUGGUUUAAUUAUCUAGUAUUUGAAAUUUAUUGGUCAGAUUAAUCAUGAAUCGCGCUGGAUAGACUCGCUAAAGAAGGCAAUUAGACCCUCCCUACUGUAAAGCUUUUUAUAAAUUUCAAAAGUUGAUUUAGUCUUGGAUUGGAUAUCUACAAUGAGCAGCUGGUUAAUUAGUUUAAUUUUUCAUAUCAUAAUCAAAGAUUCACAUGAAUGCUCAGCACGUUCACUAUAACAUGUUCCUUUGAUCUCUUUUUCCUUUCUUCUUGCUCUAUUUUUUAAAAUUAUUUCUCCCAAUCUUUUGGCAUAAUCUCAUAAUCUACGUGUAUGGCUAUGAGUAUUAUUGUUAAUGGCUUUUAAUGUUGGUCACGUUUGUACACUAUAAUGUUAGGCUGAGAGAAAUUCAAGGAGGCUCUCUUAUUCUUCACAACACUAGUAAACUGCAUUAACCAAAUCGAUUCAGAGAGAAAAAAAAGAAAGAAUUUUCCAACUACUUUUUCAACUAACUUCUCUCUCUCUCUCACUCACUUUCAUCAAUCUUGAAUCCAAAAAACAGUUUUUUUUGCAAUAUUUCUGAUCAAGAUCCCAAAAAAGUUGACAAAUCAAGAACCCCAUCCUCUUCAAAACAAAAGAAUCAUUCUUUUUUUCUUGUGUUUUUUCACUUGGUGAUCAUAAUUGCCUUUUUGUAAAUGCCAAUGUGAUCAUAUUGGUUAUACACAUUCUGUAUUUGAAUCAAGAAAUAUGCCAAGCAAGUUAAAGAAGGCAAUUGGUGCAGUAAAAGAUCAAACAAGCAUUAGCCUUGCAAAAGUUGCAAGCAAUACUUCCUCAACCCUUGAAGUUGCUGUGCUGAAAGCCACAAGUCAUGAUGAUGUGCCUGUCGAUGAUCGAUAUGUUCAAGAAGUCAUCAAACUUGUCUCCUCCAACAAAGCCUAUGCAGCUGCCUGUGCUCGUGCCAUUGGCAAACGUAUUGGUAGAACGAGGAAUUGGAUCGUUGCCCUUAAAUCGUUGAUGCUUGUCUUAAGAAUUUUUCAAGAUGGUGAUCCUUAUUUCCCUCGAGAAGUUCUUCAUGCCAUGAAACGAGGGGCCAAGAUUCUUAACCUCUCUAGCUUCCGCGAUGAUUCUAAUUCUAGUCCUUGGGAUUUCACAGCCUUUGUUCGUACGUUUGCUCUGUAUCUUGAUGAGCGUUUGGAUUGUUUCCUUACUGGUAAGCUUCAAAGAAGGUAUAAUAAUCGCGAAAGAGAAAAUUCUAGCAGUCAUUAUAGGACUAGUAUGAGUAGUCGAAGAAGGGGUGAUGAGCCUGUCCGUGACAUGAAACCAGUAAUGCUGCUCGACAAGAUUUCAUAUUGGCAACGAUUGAUUGAGAGAGCAAUCGCUACAAGGCCAACAGGGGCAGCUAAGACGAAUCGUCUUGUCCAAAUUGCUUUAUAUGCUGUUGUUCAAGAAAGUUUUGAUCUUUACAAAGAUAUAUCAGAUGGGCUUGCUCUUGUUCUUGAUAGCUUUUUCCAUUUACCAUAUCAAUCAUGUGUAAAUGCAUUCCAAACUUGUGUCAAAGCAGCUAAACAAUUUGAAGAAAUUAGUGCAUUUUAUUCUGUUUGUAAAAGUAUUGGAGUUGGUAGGACAUCAGAAUAUCCAAGUGUACAAACUAUAUCAGAGGAAUUGAUUGAAACAUUACAAGAAUUUCUCAAAGAUCAAUCUUCAUUUCCAGCACAUACACAAACCAAAUCACAUUUGCUUCUUCCGGGACCUGGUGGAUCAACGAGGACCACGAGCAGCAAACGUGAUAGUUAUGGCGGACAAUCUGAAUUUUCUUUGGCCACAGAAACGACAGAGCCAUACUCGGAGAGGAGUAUUAAUUCUGGUGUUGAUUCGCGUUGCACAUCAUUAGAAGAUCUAAUAAGUGCAACCGAAACAUGGAAAAGUCCAGCUAAUAUUUCGAUUGAUUUGGAGGCUUAUUCGGAUAUUCAAUUUGAGAAGCAGUUGCAUGAGAAGGACGAUACGGGGUCUACUCAUUCAUUGCCUGUGUCAAAUUCAAUGGUUGAUCUUGUAUCCUUACCAGAUUGGCAAGGAUAUGAUGAAGACGACGACAGAAAACAAGAAGAGGAUAAACAACAAAAGCAGGAGGCAGUGAAAGAUCAAGAAAUCAACAAGGAAAAAGCUGCACAUCAACAAGAGCAUAAACAGAAUCCAUCCUUAGAUUCUAAUUCAGCAAAAGAAUGGGAGCUCGUGUUAACUGAGGCGAUACCAUCAACAUCUUUCAACGCGUUCCCUGAACAACCAAAACCAGAAAAUUUGCCUAGAAAUGAAACAAGAGGGUCGUCUAAUGAGGCGAUGAUAACACCAUCAGCAUCUUUCAACGCGUUCCCUGAACAGCCAACACCGGGACAUUUGCCAAGAAAUGAAGCAACAGGGUUGUCUACAGAGGCGAUAAUAACACCAUCAGCAUCUUUCAACGCGUUUCCAGAACAAGGACAAGAAAUCGCGCCAACAAAUGAAGCAAUAGGGACAUCAUCAGAAGAGGUUUCUUCAAGCAAUGGCUGGGAAUUGGUGUUAUUCGAAAAUAUUCCACAAGCACAAUCAACACAAUCCAUGCCUAGUACAACGAACAACGUUAACAGCUUCAACUUCGCCACUCUGGACGAAUUAUAUAAUCAGAAUCCAGUGCCAAUGUUUCCAAAUGGUGGCCAAAAUUCACAAUAUACAGCUAGUACAAACAACUUUUGGAAUGAUCAGAAUCUGUCCUUGAACUUGCCACCUCCAAAUAAUGGACUGAAUGCAUAUACUCAUCAAAAUCCAGUUUUGCCAGCACCUCAACACUACAAUCCAUUUUUACAAGAUACAUCAAUGGACUUGGCCAUGGUAGCGGUUACAACUGCUACCACCACUGCCACUGCCACGUACCCGACUAUGGCCACCAAUGCUCCCUUUACAUUUCCGACGUCUACUGACAUGUUUUCAUCAUCAACUCCAGCACCUACAUUCCAAGCAACUCCAACUUUUAGUGCUCAGAAUUCAACUUCAGGGGCAGUGCAGAGUGGUGUGGAGGAUCCAUUCGCGACGUUUUCAAGUAGUGAUCAGAUGUUUAAUGGCAUUCCGAAUGAGCAGAAUUUGUUGCAUGAACAACAGUUAUGGUUGCAGAACCAAAACAAGAUCAUAGCAAAACAUAUGGCUUGAUUUAUAUACGUGUGUAAAAUGAAUAAAUCUUGUUGUUAUGUUUACGUUUUUGCUUUUGUUAAAUCUCCUUCUUUCCAUUAUGACUUACAUUAAUUGCAGCAUUUUUCUAUUCCGUGCAUCUAGUUCGUAAAAAAUGGCUCAAAAUUCAAUCAAUUAAAAUUUAAUCCUCGAAACAUUUUCUAUAUUAAGGGUGUGUUUGGUGUGGAGUUCAGAUUUUUUUUUUCAAUUUUUCAUGUUUGGUUAGUUUCUUUAAGAAAACAAGUUCUUUAAAAAUCAGGAAAUUAACUUUCUUGGUGGGAAUAGAAAAAAUAAGUUUCAUGAGUGGCAUUUCACGAUGGUUGUCUCCUCCCCAACCCCAAACACCCCCAAAAAAGUUUCCACUAUUUUUGAUCUAUUCCUGGUACCUAUUGCAAUUCUUGGUGUUGGUGUUUUUAGAAUUUGAUAAGACUUCCUGUGUUUUUGGUUAAAUCUUGUUUUUCUUACAAUUCCUGUUGAACAACUAAAUUUAUUAAAUAUUUGAAUAUUAAAUAAUGAAGAAUAAGUAUUCACUUUUGGUAAAUUACAACAACAAUAAUAACAAAUCCAAUAUAAUAUCACAAGUGAGGUAUGGGAGGAUUGCACGCAUAACUUACCUCUACGGCAGGCCAUCAGCUCAACGAAUAAUGAAAUAAAGUAACAAAUAAUAGCAACAUGUUAAUAGGGUAACAGAAGCGAAUGACAAAACAUGUAAUAAAAAAGUAGGAUAAGAAAAUACAAUAAUAGUACUAGUACUACUCGUAAGCCUAGGAGAAACUCAUAACUACCUGUCAACCUUCAACCCUAAUUCUUGACCUACACGUCUUUAUAUCGAGGGUCAUGUUCUUGAUAAGCUAAAGCAAUGACAUGUACUGCCUAAUUACUUCUCCAUAGUACUUCUUUGACUUACCUCUACCCUUCCUCAGACCUGUCAUGAUUAACCUUUCACACCUCCUAACUGGGACAUUUAUGUCUCUCCUCUUCACAUGUCCGAACUACCUCUACCUUGAUUCCCGCAACUUAUUCUCUACAGAGGCUACUCUUCAUUCCAUAGAGGCCACAACUUUUGGCAAAUUUAAAGGACCAAAACUCCUUAGGAAUAUAUUUAAGGGACUAUUUUGGACAUAACCAUAAGAGCCUAUAUUUGUAUUUUUUCAUAAAAUUUACAUUAAGCUUUAUGAUUAGUAUUUUGAUCCCAUUUUAAAUUUGAUGUAUUGAGUUGGAUCAGUUUUAAUGCUUCACCUCAUUUUAAGUGAUACCAUUGUGAGCAGUUCCUUGCAUUCACACCAAUUAGAUGGUCAAAUACAUUGAUAAUUUUUUAAAACUUGACUUCAUUUUUCUUUUAAAAAUCUUAAUCUUUAAUUCUUGGCCUAUUAAACCCUUCAACUUCUUGUUCUUCUUAAAACAAACCCUUCAACUUCUUGUCUAUUAAAUCAUCAUAGAGUCAGAACUAUCAAUUAGAAAAAUUUUACUUUUUUCCUUCGUUAGAAAUAGAGGAGGAGAAGCGAACAAUGUCGGGAGCAGAAGAAGACAAGAAGCCCGCCGGCGAUCAGGCUGGUCACAUCAAUCUCAAAGUCAAAGGCCAGGUCUUCUUCUUUUCUUUCUUAUCUCCUCUUUCCCUACUAGUCCCUCGUAUGAGUUCAUUAGGGUUUGGUUUGGUACCUUAUUUGAACUUUUGAAGUGUAUUUGAACAUUAAAUUAGUUUUAUGAGCCUGAAUAGAGCAUAAUAGAUGUCGAUUUUGGGAUUGAUUUAGUAAUUGAUUGAUGGAUUAGGCCUUCUUUAGGGUUGCAUGGAAUUUUUACUGUCAUUCUGUGAUUUGUGUGUCUACAUUGUUGAAAAUCUUUACAGCUUGUUUGGAUGGUUGUUAUGUAUCAUCUCAUGAUGUAUCGUAUAGUAUAGUAUAGUAUUUUAUUGUAUUGUAUCGUUUUGAUGUAUACAAUGUUUGGAUAGAUUGUAAUGUUUGUUGUCUUUUCAUGAUGUCAUGCACCAACAAUACGAAAAAUAAACUUACAAUAUUAUAAAGAAAAAGGUACGAGGUAGAAUAAUUAUAUAAAAAGGUAGGGCAAAAGAUAAGAUAGGAUUAUUUAAUAAUAAGGAAGGGCAAGAUGGGAGGAAAAAAUAUGGAAACAACGCGACCAUACCAAAUCAGUCGUUCCAUGAAGUGACACUUUUUGUCGUUACGUAAGGAUGGAUUAUAAGAUACGAUACAUUAAAAUUUAAGUAACAAUCAAAAUAAAUAUUGUAUUUAAAGUUACAAUAUGAUACAAUACAACAUGUCACAACCAUCCAAACAAGCCGUUAGUCACUCAUUUGAGCAACAUCAUCUGAACUUAAAUCGACUAGAAAAUAGAAACUUAACCCCAGUCCCCACCUCAACUCGAAAAGAAGAAAAGAAAGAAAAAACUCUAUUGUUGUAUACUAAUUCCUUAUCUGCGCUAGGGCUUUGGUCUAGUGGUAAGGGAGCAACACAUGAUUGGUGGAUUAGGCGCACAUCAUGGGUUCGAAUGUCGCCACAGACAAAAGCCUGGUAUUUAAGUGGAGAAGAGUAAAGGGGUGGGUCCAAUAUUCACCGAGUUUUGAACCAUAUGCUAUUGGCCCUCCGUAUUUCUCACUUAUCAAAAAAAAAUUGUAUACACACACACUAAUUACUUGUCUUGGAAUAUCAAGGUUUAAACCGAAAUGAUCCUAAUGCUUAAUGAGUUUCUGUUAAUAAAUUUGAAUGUUCAUAUUUAAUAUAUGCUGGAUCAGAGAAGUUCUUGAACUCAGAGAAAGCCCCCUAUAUUUGUCACGUUGGAUGGAGGCAUAUUAUCUUUUGUCGAGGUUUAUUUACUGGUACUUUUUUCAUCAAUGCUAAACCAAGAUAUCUUGGUCUACCUUAACAUUAAUGUGAUGCAAAAGAUUUGUAAUGUUAUAUUCAUUGUCAUUAAGAAAAUUUAACUGUUCAUGUUUAGUAUAUUGUCUCAGAAAAGUAUUUAAACUCAGAGGAAGCCCCUGUAUAUUUCAUGUUUGAUUGAGCUGUAUUACCUUUUCUGAAGAUUUAAAGACCAGUCUUUUCAUCAACGCAAAAGAUAAUGCAAUUGAUGGCUUAGUCAUCAAUGUCAGACUUUUGUAAUGCUUGUGUUAACUAUCUUGUAUUAGUUGAAGUUGUUGUCAAGUCAUCUGAUCUGCUGCUUGACUCAGAAAGUCAACCUGGAAUUGGGAAUUUGUUUAUGUGGAUUUGGUGAUCGGGGGUUGUAUUACCAAGAGUAAUUGCGCGUGGCAGUUUUUCUUCACGAUAAGACAAUAACCUGGGCUGUACCUACAUCCUUCUUGAGCUUUGGAAUUUACUUUCUGUUGCUACUCCAUAAAAUCUUUCAUUUUGGCUAUACAAACACGAAAUUUUAUGCAGUUGUGUGUUGAUUCCGAUACUUGAUGGAACAAUUAGUAGUAAACCUUUUCUUUCUUUGUCUUAUCUUUUGUUUUUGUCCAUUUCUUGCUGUUAUUAGGAUGAUGUGCUUCUCAUUAAGAUUUUCUGGAAAAAUGGGCUUUUGCAUGUUUUAAUGAAAAGGGGGAAAAUGGUGAGAAAAUUAUAUAUUUGGCUUUUUUUGGUUUCAGGAUGGGAAUGAAGUCUUCUUUAGGAUCAAAAGAAGCACCCAGCUGAAGAAGCUGAUGAAUGCUUAUUGCGACCGACAGUCAGUGGAUUUCAAUUCAAUUGCUUUCUUGUUUGAUGGUCGUCGUCUCAGAGCAGAACAGUCACCAGAUGAGGUCUCCCCCCCCCCCCCCCAAAGCCCCCAAAUGUGCACACACAAAUACAAACAAGAGAAUACCAAAGAAAGACCCAUGUAUUUGCUUGAUAUUGUGCUUAACAAUUGUGUUAAUUAUCUUGUUUCCUUAUAAUUUUCUCCCUUGUGCAGCUGGAGAUGGAAGAUGGUGACGAAAUUGAUGCAAUGUUGCAUCAAACUGGAGGCACAAUUCUUUGAGUCUUCUUUGCUGUUUCUGUGGACCUAGGCUUUAUGUGUGUGUCUAGGUGGUAUGGACUUGGUGAAGUGUAGGUUGUUCAACUUUAGGGCGUGUAGAGUGUAAUGAACGUGAUCAUGUUUGCUUUAUGUUGACCAGCUCGGCUGAACUUUAAUCGCCACUGCAACUUGAUAUGAAAGUCAUUACUUCCUUAACCGUUUAGUUUUCUAAAGAUGACAUGAAUCCAAAGUCUUGGUUUGUUUUAAAUAACCCCCUCCCUCAACUCCCACGAAAACUCUGUACCUUGGUGACAAGAAGAAGCUCCAGUGUGGCCUGCUUUUCACCUUAAUCACAGUUUGGUCCGUUAUCUCAGGCUCUUUAUCUUGAUGGUAGUUUAUUUUAGAACUAGCACCAAGGUGUUGGUCAAGUGGUAAAAGUGCAGUACGUAAUGUGUGGGUUAGGUGCACGUCACAGGUUUGAACUCUGCGCAGACAAAAAUCCAGGUAUUUAAGUGGAGAAGAGUAGAGAACAUGCCCUUUAUUCAUCUAGUUAUAAAUUGUGCGCCACUGGCCCUUGGCGAUAUCUCCGUGAGCCACUUGUCAUCGGAGAUUUCUCCAUUUUUCGGACAAUAAGUUUGUUUUAGAACUUCUAUUCAGGCUCUUUGAUUCUUUGAAACUACAGUGGUU